GACGAAGGUGGCAAGCGUUGUUCGGAAUCACUGGGCAUAAAGAGCACGUAGGCGGCUGAGUUAGUCGGAUGUGAAAUACCUCGGCUCAACCGAGGAACUGCGUCCGAUACUGCUUGGCUUGAGGUCCGGAGGGGAGAGUGGAAUUCCCGGUGGAGCGGUGAAAUGCGUAGAGAUCGGGAAGAACGCCGGCGGCGAAAGCGACUCUCUGGUCGGAAUCUGACGCUGAGGUGCGAAAGCUAGGGGAGCAAACGGGG
rnacentral:rRNA from 1 species